rnacentral:rRNA from 18 species
GGAUGACUUGUGGCUAGGGGUGAAAGGCCAAUCAAACUCGGAAAUAGCUGGUUCUCCGCGAAAACUAUUGAGGUAGUGCCUCGGAUGUUUUCCUAUGGGGGUAGAGCACUGGAUGGGCUAGGGGGUCGCGAGACCUACCAAACCUAACCAAACUCCGAAUACCAUAGAGACAAGUCCGGGAGACAGACGGCGGGUGCUAAGGUCCGUCGUCAAAAGGGAAACAGCCCUAACCUACAGCUAAGGUCCCCAAGUCAUCACUAAGUGGGAAAGCAUGUGGGAAUCCCAAAACAACCAGGAGGUUGGCUUAGAAGCAGCCAUCCUUUAAAGAAAGCGUAACAGCUCACUGGUCUAAAUAAGGGUUCCUGCGGCGAAGAUGUAACGGGGCUAAAGUGAUGCACCGAAGCUUAGGGUUCAGAAUUUAUUCUGAGCGGUAGCGGAGCGUUCCGUAAGCGGAUGAAGCCGAAGGGUAACCGACGGUGGACGUAUCGGAAGUGCGAAUGCUGACAUGAGUAACGAUAAUGGGAGUGAAAAACUCCCACGCCGGAAGACCAAGGUUUCCUGUCCCAUGCUAAUCAGGGCAGGGUAAGUCGGCCCCUAAGGCGAGGCAGAAAUGCGUAGUCGAUGGGAAACGGGUUAAUAUUCCCGUACUUUUAUGUACAGUGAUGGGGUGACGGAGAAGGCUAUGCUAUCGUGGCGUUGGUUGUCCACGUGAAAGUAGGUAGGCUGAGUGUUUAGGUAAAUCCGGACACUCUUAAGGCCGAGAUACGAGACGAGUUUCUACGGAAACGAAGUAGCAGAUGCCCGGCUUCCAGGAAAAUCCUCUAAGCGUAUGUGCAUAAGAACCGUACCCCAAACCGACACAGGUUGUCAGGUAGAGAAUACCAAGGCGCUUGAGAGAACUCGGGUGAAGGAACUAGGCAAAAUGGUACCGUAACUUCGGGAGAAGGUACGCCGCUGACGGUGAUGAGACUUGCUCUCUGAGCUAUCGGCGGUCGCAGUGAAAAGGCCCCUGCAACUGUUUAUUAAAAACACAGCACUCUGCAAACUCGUAAGAGGACGUAUAGGGUGUGACACCUGCCCGGUGCCGGAAGGUUAAGAGGAGAGGUGCAAGCCUUGAAUUGAAGCCCCGGUAAACGGCGGCCGUAACUAUAACGGUCCUAAGGUAGCGAAGUUCCUUGUCGGGUAAGUUCCGACGCGCAUGAAUGGCGUAACGACUGGAGCACUGUCUCCACUUCCGACUCGGUGAAAUAGUAGUGGCGGUGAAGAUGCCGCCUACCCGCGAC